CUCCCCUGCUGUUGUUUUCUUCCUUUCAGUCAAACAGGAAUCCUUGGGCACAGAAAUUGUGUCCCUGUGUUUCUCUGCUGAAAGUUCUCAUUCUCUGCUCUCUCUGUGUGGAGGAGCCCAGUGAAACUGGUUUUCCCACCUAGACACCCCCUGUCAAGCUGACAGCUUUUCUUUGGUCCAGGUUAUUCCUUUAAUAUCUGCCCAGGCUGUCUUCACUAGUAUUACUUCGCUUCAUAUAUAUUUGUCCAGGGUGAUUAUGGCCAUGAUGUGUUCAGCAUAGACCUGCAUAUCUUUACCAGAGCCAACACCUGAGCUGAUCCCCGAAGGCAGUAGCACAUGCUUGGCAGUGGCAGUACCCAGAUGCUAAAAUGUAUUUUGCAGUAACAGGAGUUUCAGCACAUUCGUAAGUAACCAAUUUGCUGGAAAUCCUUUCCUUAGAUUUAACAACGUGCCUGGAAAUGGGCUGAUCAAACAAAAAAAAAAAAAAAGUCUCUCUAGUGUAUGUACCAGGUAAAACAACACAGGGAAGUAUAUGAAACUUAAGAAACCCUCUAGUGGAUAAAGUGCACAUUUAUUUUGACAUGAAGAAAGGAUACUGAAUGUUUUGGGUUGUGCAUAAACUUACCCUGGGCCAGGAACAACAACAACAGCUGAAAAAUCAGCUACAGCCUCCUGUCCCUGGAGCAGCCCAUUCUCUGCAUUCAAUCUGCUUAACAGAAUGGCACAUUUUCUGAAUUUCCUAGGCCUAACCUUUAACCUUUGGCCCUCUGCUGACUGCAGAUGACUGUGCAGGCAGGCAAAAAUACUAAUGGUAAGAUUUUAAAAUCUCUUAAUUAUCACAACGGGCCAUUAAAGUUGAUGUCUACAAACACACAAACCAUGGGGUUACUGGGUCCAUUCCAUAGGCGUAUGCUGGAGUUAACACUUUCUCUACUAUACUAUUAAAAGGUAACUGCAUUUCUUUAAAUAUUCUUUGAACAUGUUUCAUUGCUUGAGCAGUCAUGAUGAUGGCUCCACUGAGCACUGAAGAAGCAACAUAAAUAGGUUUUUUAAAUGUUGUGUCCUAUAAGGGAUUAAAAUAAGCAUUGCAAACUUUUCAUGCAUGUAAGCAUUAGAUGAAUAAUAGAGACAUGAUUUUUAAGCCAUGAGGAAAAAAGCUUUAAAGAAAAUAUUGAAUCUAAGAACUGUGCAGCUGCAACUUAAGCUGGUGUAAUAUUGGUGUCUGGCCAAUGCUGAUGUCUCUUCAAAUAAUUAAAUUCUGUAAUUUCUUUUGAUUUUUAUUUCCAGGAGUUAGACAGAACCAAACACUGUAUUGGAUCCCUUUUAGGACCUCUCUAAAGUGGAAAAGGGUUAUCACAGACACUUUCUCUUGGGUCCACUUUUUUGCAUGAUUCUUAUUGUUCUUGUACAUUAUUUUUAGAUGUUAUGAAAUAGUAAAGUAUUUAACAAAUGACACAACCAUAAAACUUUGCUGAAUAUUUAUAACUUUGUUUUGUAAACUCAGAAAUUUAAAUAUAAUGUUUAACAGCUUGGACCCCAGGAUAUUCAGAGUGCAAAAGCUCUAACCACAGAGUUAAAAUAGUAUUUUGCACCUCUGAUCAGUGCAUAUACCAGUUUGGGUUUUAUUUAUCAAAAUAACUUUGCACUCAUGAAUCUAAGAUAAAUUUUGCAUAGUAAGUAUUUUCAUAGAUCAGAAAUCUAGGAACUGGUAACAAAAUUGCUGUCAAGAGAUGAUACUGUAAAUCCUGCCAUAACAUAUGAAUUUUAGGAACUCGCUAGUGCUCAUCACAUUCACCAAAAAGCUUUGUGAUUGUGUUCACAGAAAAUGCCUGAAAUAUCAAAUUUGACAAACAAGAAGCCUCAAUUAAGCAAGAGCAAAAAAUUUUGUGCUAGCAACACAGUUGACAGACAGGGUAGAGACAAGAAUCAAGAGUCAGGAAGUAACUGAUGUCUCUUUUGACACAGACUGGGAGACAGGCAUUCCCACCAAAAAGAAAUGUCUCAGAAAAUAAGCCACCUAAUCAAUCAAGUAGCUUUGGUAUACUUUUGUGCAAUUCCAUCAGACUACUAUAAAAGCAAUCAUUCCUUUUCAACGGAAAAGAUCACCAAAAUCUGAGAUGACCUGAGUCAGCAAAAUCAAUAUAGAGGCAGGGCAGCAUAAAAUACCCCUGUUAGCUGGCACACAGAUUUCUGCUCUUUGAGCUCUAAAAUUUCUUUCACACUGAUCAGCAAAAGAAUCACAGAAUCACAGAAUGUUAGGGAUUGGAAGGGACCUUGAAAGAUCAUUUAGUGCAAUCCCCCUGCUGGAGCAGGAACACCUAGAUGAAGUUACACAGGAAUGUGUCCAGGCGGGUUUUGAAUGUCUCCAGAGUAGGAGACUCCACAACCCCCCUGGGCAGCCUGUUCCAGUGUUCUGUCACUCACUGUGAAGAAGUUUCUUCUCAUGUUUAAGUGGAACCUCUUGUGUUCCAGUUUGAAUGCAUUGCCCCUUGUCCUACCCUUGGUUAUCACUGAGAAGAGCCUGGCUCCAUCUUCGUGACACUCACCCUUUACAUAUUUAUAAACGAGGUCACCAAUCAGUCUCCUCCAAACUAAUGAGACCCGGCUCCCUCAGCCUUUCCUCAUAAGGGAGAUGCUCCACUUCCUUAAUCAUCUUGGCUGCCCUGUGCUGGACUCUCUCCAGCAGUUCCCUGUCCUUCUUGAACUGAGGGGCCCAGAACUGGACACAAUAUUCCAGGUGCGGUCUCACCAGGGCAGAGUAGAGGGGAAGGAGAACCUUUUAACCACUCCUCUUCUAAUACACCCCAGGAUGCCAUUUGCCUUCCUGGCCACAAGAGCACAGUGCUGGCUCAUGGUCAUCUUGCUGUCCACCAGGACCCCCACAUCUCUUUCCCCUAUACUGCUCUCUAACAGGUCGUUCCUCAACCUAUACUGGAAGCUGGGGUUGUUCCUGCCCAGAUGCAAGACUCCACACUUGCCCUUAAAAGAGUGUCUGUAUCAUUCUGUGUGUGAAAGUGAUUUCUUUUGUGGCAAUUGCACUACAGUACAUGCACUGUAGUCACUUCAUUGCACCACCAAAGUUGGCUGUGGGGGAUCUCAACAACAACCGCUCUCUCUUACUGCUCCCCUUCCUUCCAGGCCUCAAGAAAAGGAAAACUGCCUCUUACCACUGUUAACAUCCAGUUUCUCUUCUGGGUAUAGCACAGAGUUGAGUGAUGGGUUUACACUUGCAAAGGAUAUCUUGAUAAUCAAAGUCAGUGAACAAACAUCCAUGUUAAUGGGCAUCUAGACUUUUUACAAAGUCAGGUAAGAGCACUCAAAAGGCCCUGUUAAUACAUUUUAGAAUAAAUCACAGAGAAGAGUGAUUACAGGCUCAAUUUCUGUUCUUCCCUACCUUCAUGACACUUUACUUGUGGCAUACCACAAAAUAAAUUUCUGCCUCCCAUUCUAUUCAGAAUAAACCAUAAAAGGCUGCAGAAUUCAUAAGUCUGCAACACAGCUUUAGAGAUUUUGAGGUCAUGAGGUCCUUGGUUUAGCAAACUCUUGCAAAAUGCAGACCAUAGAAAUUCGGCAGUUCUUAAUACCGAGAGUGUUGAACUAAAUGCCUCUUUUAGGAAGUUGUCUAAGUUAGGUUAGUCAGAGAUGGUACUCAACAGAAAAAAAAAAAAAAAGAAAAGAAAAAAAAAUGGAUUCAUUUUCCUCUCAGCUAAAAAAGUUACAGGAGCUAGAAAGAAAUUCCACUAAAGUUAACUUGACCUCAGAGGGAUUAAUCCAGACUUAAAACAGUAGAAGGAGUGCAGAGUCUAAAAAGAAGCCCUGCGGGCAAGUUUUUAUGUAUCAUAGUUGCCUUUAAUAGCUAUUCCUAGUCUGGAGCAGAUACAACCGGAUUUUCCUUAACUGGGCAUGGAAAGGAUGGUAACAGUACUCUACACUGGCAUGAGAAACAUUCAUACACACCUGGUUACCACAGAUCAGCUGAUGCAAAGUGACUUCAUUGUGAAUUUUAGUACUCUGCUAGGUGCUUGUUCCUGUUUUCCCUAUUACAGUCAUUACCCAGCACAGCCAAAAAUUACCCUGGAAUCUGUUCCUUUUUCAGAACAGAUCCAGGUUUAAUAGGAGUUUGUCUUCAAGAUAUUUUUAAAAUACCUUUAUGUUUUUAUUUUUCCACUAACAGGUGAUGUUCCAGAGCAAGAUCGACACAGAUAUCUUACAUAACAAUGUCUAGCUUUUGCAAGAUCAAAAUGUGGUUUAGAUAAAGGUACACUUUCUCUGCUACGUGUUUGAGGAAAGCUGCCAAUGAAAAAUUGAGGUGAUAUUCUGAGAUUGGUAUUUCAUUCUGUGGGCAGCAGCUGGAGCUUGUACAGUGGCAUAGCUAGGUAAAGCACACACGGAAAAUAUUACUUCUACAAUGCCUAAAAGCCUCUGAAAUUAGGAUUUCCAGAAAGAAAUAAUUUUCCUAGAUCACUAAAAUCUAGUAACAACUUUAAUUUAAAACAUUUUAUAAAUCAACAUGGUUUUUCUUCUUUAGGUGGCAACUCUAUAGACGGCAGAGGCAGGACAAACUAGGGAAUAACUAAAAUUUUUAUUCAUGUCAAUGUAUAUCUUGUCUGUCUCCUCCCUCCCCAAAAAAUAGUAGGCUACUAAAUGUAUAUAUUAUCUGUGGACAGCACAGUGAUUAAUUUUACCCUCCCUAGUGCCUUUGAAGUUGAAAUAAAUGAGUUGUCCAAGGUCAUUUAAAAGACUGUGGUUGAACUGAGAACAAAAGACGGAUUUUUUUGUGUCUAGACCUCUGCUUGAUCUCUGUAAUAAACCUUGAUAGUAAGAGGGUACAACAGAAAAACUGUUUAAAAGACAGUCAGUUACUUUCAGAGAGAGAAAGCCAGGAGAACGAGAAAGUAAUUUCUCCAUAUGAGAUGAUUUUAAGGCCAGUCAGCAUGUGUUUUAUUGAGUUCCCAAUUAUUCUCUGCUCUUGAAAAAAGUAGAUAAGUUUAUAAGUAGUUUUAAAUUUUAAUAUUAAUGAUUAAAAAGAUGGUAAGUCCUUUCUGUACAUUGAUGAACAGUUUUUCCAUGUAGUUGCCAAGUUUGCUGCAGUGACAUUACCUACCACCUACUUUGAGAAGAAUGGAAGGCAUCACACUGUCACGUAAGCAUAAAAGGAAAAAGUUUUUACUAAAUUUCUGUGAACAGAUCAAUUUUUCUGAGAAGUAAGAUUUAUACUUCUUUUGCUUUUGAAUGUGACACAACCUCUUGAGCUAUAUUCCUGUCAAUUUGUCUCAUUUUUUACUUUUAUGUUUUCCAUAAUUCCAAUAGCAGUGAAAAAUAAAAAAAUAAAUCUUUCUUUUCCAGGAAAGAUUGUAAAAAGCAAUAAAACUGGGUAAUAAAAUCCAAAGCUAACUUAUCUAACCAUGUAAAUUAUAGAAAAAAAUAAUAUCCUUCCUAUAUGUUUGCAUUUUCUCAUUUUUGAUGAUACAACUUUAAAUAUUUUAGGUCUUGAAGAACUUCCUAAACAGGUUGUUGCUAACACAGACCCACCAUCAGUGAAGGAGGGGUUGGUAAGGGAACUUUUACAGGAGUUUGACCCCUACAAAUUGAUGGCCCUGACGAUAUUCACCUGAGGGUACUAAGAGAGUUGACUGAGUUCAGUUUUGGUGCUCACUACACAAUGAAAAUGUCAACAGGCUGGAGAGGUACACAAAGAUGAUCAAAAGACUGGGAAACCACCACAUGAGAAAAGGCUGAGAGAACUGGAUUUGUUCAGCCUUGAGAAAAGAGGACUUAUGAGACACCUUAACACCAUGUUCCAGUAUUUAAAGGAUAGCAACAAAAGGGAUGGAGACUCCCUUUUUACAAGGAGUCACAUAGAAAAUACAAAGGGUAAUGGGUUAAAGUUACUCUUGGGAGAUUCUGAUUGGACACAAAAGGAGCAUUUUUCACAAAAAAAGCAGUCAACCGUUGGAAUAACCUCCCCAGGGAAGUGGUGGAUUCCCCAACACUGGACAGUUUUAAGAUUCAACUGUACAGAGUGCUGGGCCAUCUUGUCUAGACUGUGCUUUUGCCAAGGAAGGUUGGGCCAGAUGAUCUUUGUGGUCCCUUCCAACUUGGUAUUCUAAGAUUCUGAUUACCUUAUUAAUUUUAAUGUAUGGGGUUUGUUUGUUUGUUUUUCUAGCUAUUAAGAUUUCCAUUCAAAGACUAAUCAGAAAUGGUACAUUUGCCUUAAUGGAUUUUAUAUCAGCCAUCAAAUCUUCUUUUAUUUUUAGAUAUUUUAAAAUAAAAUUUCUAUACAAGUAGUUCUAUAUAAUACAUAUAAUUGUAUAAGCAGGCAUUCCAAAAGUGAUAGGAACUGUUUUUACAGCACCUACAGAUAACCGAAGGAAAAGUAAGUUUUAUGAAAAAUUUUGAGGGACUCCAAUUACAACUUUCUAAGAAAAGAUUUUUCAUUACAGUAGAUGCUUGCAAAUGAACGAAGUAUUCUCUCUUACCUGCAAAUUUUUAAAAAUUUAUUUUGAAGAUAAAAAAACAUGUGACAUUCAGUUAAAAUAAAUCAAGAGGAAGAACUAACUUAAAGGAAAGCUGCAAACCUUCUAAUUAAGGUUUUAUUGUGUAACCUGUAUGAACACACCACACCAGAGCUGAGAAAGCGGCAGUGUCCUGGUUUUGUUAAAAACAAGUUUCUCUUUCAGUGAAUUUUGCCUGUCAGCUAAAGCCUUCAUAUUAACUGCAUUUUCCUGGAGAACCAGACACAUGUUUUGGUAAACCUAGCAAUGGAAUGCAAACUUAUUGAUAAGCACGAAUAGACAUCUCACGAGAGGGGCGACGAGAAACAAGUGACCAAGAAACUGACCAACUGUGUAUAACAUUCCAUUCACGUGAAUACUUCAUAUAAAAGUGGGAGAUCAAGAGGAUCUUGGCCCUUUUUCCCUUUUGCCUUUGCUUUUUCCCUUCUGCUUAUGGCCGACAUUAGGAGAGGACCUUGCUAGUCGUCCCUGCGAACUGAGGCCUAGUGACAGACUGAAUCCAGCUCCGGUUGGCUGCAGAGUCUAAUCCAGGACUUUGGGUGCUGGCUCUGCAGUUGCUGAGACUUUCAAGAUUGGUUUUGUAUAUUUUGUGUUAUUUUCUUUAUUCUUAUUAGUAGCAUUAGUAAAACAUUGUUAAUUUUUCCAA